ACCUUCCUAGGCCCGUCUAGGGCUGCCAAGGGGCCGCCUUGACCCGCCUUAACCCGCCUUGGCCCGCGUUGACCCACCUUGGACCGCCUUGACCCCCUUAACUUGUCUUGACUCGCCUUGAAACGGCUAAGGCUGUUUUGACCUCCCUCGAGCCUGCCAUUACUCGUCUAGGGCCGCCAAUGGGCUGCCUAUGUCCGCCAAGAGGGCACCUUGAACCACCAAGGGGGGCCUUGACCCGCCUUUACCUGCCUAGGGCGGCCAAGCGGUCGUCUUGACCCGCCUUGACACGUAUUGGCCCACAUUGACCCUCCUAGGGCCUCCAAAAGGCCGCCUUGACCCGUUUAAGGCCACCAAGGGUCCGCCUUGACCCCGCUAGGGCCGCCAAGGGGCCGUGUUCACCCGUCUAAGGCCUCCAAGGGCCACCUUGACCCGCCAAGGGGCUCCCUUGACCCUUCUUAACACGCCCAGGGCCGCCUUGACCUUCUUAGGUUGUCCUAGGCUCUCCUAGGGCCAACAAGAGGUCGCCAUGACUCGCCAAGGGGUCGCCAUGACCCUCCUAGUCCUGUCUAGGGCUGCCUUGACCCUUUUAGAACCUCCUAGGCUUGCUUAGGGUAGCCAACGGGUCGCCUUGACCUGCUUAGGACCGCCAAUUGGCCGCUUUGAUCAGCCUUGGGCUGUCUUGGGCCGCCUUGGACCACCCUGACCUGCCUGAACCCGUCAUGGGCCGCCUUAACCUCAUAGGGUCGCCAAUAAGGCACCUUAACCCAUUUAGGGCCCCGAAGGGGCCUCCAAAAAUGCUACCUUGACUUGCCUAGGGCCGCCAAACGGCCGCCUUACUCGUCCUGACCCUCAUAAGGGGCCACCUUAACCCUCUUAGGGCCGCCAUGACCCGCCAAGGAGCCACUUUGACCCGUCUUGACCCGCCUUGACUGCCUUGACAGCCUUGACAUGCCAACGGGCAGCUUUGACCCGCCUUAACCGCAACCGCUGUGACCCACCUUGACAAGUCAAGUGGCCGCUUUGACCCGCCUUGUCAUGCCAAGGGACGGCCUUAACCCGCUUUGAUAUGCCAAGGGACCGCCUAGACCUACUUAGGCCGCUUUGACCUGCCUUGGGCUGCCUUGACCCUCAUAAGGCCUCCAAUAAGGCGCAUUGACCCAUCAAGGGCCACCAAGAGGCCGCCUUAACCCUACUAGGGCCGUCAUGAUCCGCCUUAACCCUACUAGGGCCGCCAUGAUCCGCCUAUGGCUGCCAAGGACCGCCUUGACCCUCCUAGGGCCACCUUGACCCGCCAAGGGGCCACUUUGACCCACCUUGACCCGCCUUGACUGCCUUUACCGGCCUUGACAUGCCCUGACUGCCUUGACCCACCCUGACUGCCUUGACCCGGCUUAACUACCUUUACCCGCCUUAACCGCUUUGACCCACCUUGACAAGCCAAUGGGCCGCUUUGACCCGCCUUGACAUGCCAAGGGACCGCCUUGACCCGCUUUGACAUGCUAAGGGGCUUCUUUGACCCGCCUUCACCUGCCAACGGACCGCCUAGAUCCACUUAGGCCGCUUUAACCCGCCUUGGGCCGCCUUGACCUUUAUAAUGCCGCCAAUAGAGCCCCUUGACCCAUCAAGGGCCACCAAGAGGCCGCCGAGGGGCCGCCUUAACCCUUCUAGGGCCACCAUGACUCGCCUAAGGCUGCAAAGGGACCGCCUUGACCCUCCCAGGCCUUGACCCGCCAAGGGGCCACGUUGACCCGCCUUGACCCGCCCUGACUGCCUUUACCCGCCUUGACAUGCCCUGACUGCCUUGACCCGCCCUGACUGCCUUGACCAGCCCUGACUUCCUUGACCCGCCCUAACUACCUUGACCCGCCUUAACCGCUUUAACCCACCUUGACAAGUCAAGGGGCCGCUUUAACCCGCCUUGACAUGUUAAGGACCGCCUUGACCCCCUUUGACAUGCUAAAGGGCCGCUUUGACCUGCCUUCACCUGCCAAGGGACCGCCUUGGCCCUCCUAGACCCAUGUAGGGACCUCCUACACCCGCUUAGGUGUAGCUUAGACCUGCCAAAACCCGUCUAAGGCCGCUAGUGGACUGCCUUAACCUGCCAAGGGACCGCCAUGACCCGCUAAGCGACCGCUUUGAUCCGCCUUGGGCCGCCUUGACCCUCAUAAAGCCGCCAAUAGGGCGCCUUGACCCAUCAAGGGCCACCAAGGGGCAGCCUUGACCAAGCUAGGGCCGCCUUAACCUGCCAAGGGACCGCCUUGACCCGCUAAGGGGCCGUUUUGACCCGCCUUAACUGCCUUGACCCGCCUUGACAUGCCAAGGGGCAACUUUGACCUGCCUUAACCGCUUUGACCCACCUUGACAAACCAAGGGGCCGCUUUGACCCGCUUUUGACAUGCCAAUGGACCGCCUUGACCCGCUUUGACUUGCUAAAGGGCCGCUUUGACCCGCCUUCACCUGCCAAAGGGACCGCCUUGGUCCUCCUAGACCCACGUAGGGACCACUUAGACCCACUUAAGGUCACCAAAGGGGCACCUAGCCCCGCUUCGGUGUAGCCUAGACCUGUCAAAACCCGUCUAUGGCCGCUAAUGGACUGCCUUGACCCGCCGGGGGCCACCAGGGGCCGUUUUGACCCGCCAAGGGGCUUCUUUGAUCCUUCUUGACCUACCAAUGGACAGCCUUGGCCCUCCUACACCCACGUAGGGACCACCUAAACCCACUUAAGGUCGCCAAAGGGGCCCCUAGACCUGCUUAGAUGUAGCCUAGACCUCCUAAGGUUGCUGCCAAGACCUGCCUAGGGUCGCUAGUGGACUGCCUUGACCCGUCGAGGGACGCCAAGGGGAUGAUUUGACCUGCCUUAGCACAUUAAAGGGCCGCUUUGACCCGCCUUGACCUGCCAAGGGGCCGCUUUAACCCACCUUGACCUGUCAAGGGAUCGCCAUGACAUGCCAAGGGGCCGCUUUGACCCACCUUAACCUGCCAAGGAACCGCCUUGACCCUCCUAGACCCACGUAGGGACCACCAAUACCCACUUGAGGUCACCAAGGGGCGCCCUGACUCGCCUAGGGUCAUCAAGACCUGCCUAGACCCGCUUAGAACCCGCGUAGGGACCGCCUAGACCCGUUUAGGUUUAGCCUAGACCUCGCCAAGGGACGGCCGAGAACUGCCUAGGGUAGUUAGUGGGCUACCUUGACCCGCUAAGGGCCCCCAAGGUGCCGUUUUGACCCGCCUUGACCUGCCAAGGGACCUCCUUGACCCGUCUUACAUGUCAAUGGGCCACUUUGACCCGCCUUGACCUGCCAAUGGACCGCUUUGACCCGCCUUGGGCCACCUUCACCCACCUUAGAUAGCCUUGGGCCGCUUUGACCCGCCUUGACUCUCCUAGACCCGCCAAAGGGUUGCCUAGGGCCGCCAUGGGGCUGCCUUGAUCCAUCUUGGCCCGGCUUGACCCGCCUUAGCCCUCCUUGACUUGCCUUAGACCACCUUUGACAGGACCCACCCCGAAUUUCACCCUGAAACCCGAAGUAAAUCCUGCGGGGACCACCUCCAAGGAAAGUUUACCGAAAAAUUCGACAGAA
rnacentral:lncRNA from 1 species